rnacentral:misc_RNA from 1 species
GUGAAUCAUCAAAUUUUUGAACGCAAAUUGCACUCUCUUCUGAGAGUAUGCCUGUUUGAGGGUCAGCCUAAAAAAAAAUCGACAUAGUAGUUGUUUCGAGUUGACAUUGGUCGGAAAUUGGGUCAUCUUAAACCUUUGGCUGUUAAGCGGCUUAAAUUUUUCUUUACUAUUCCACGAGCUUUUCUAAGAUUUACUUCUUAUACUUUUAAGUUAUCGAUCUUGAUUAGACGUGGCGGUUGCUUUGG